GGGUCAGUAGGUUGGUCAUGCCACUGAUAUGUACUGGUCUCACUGAUUCCUCCUUCCUGAUGAACUGUAAUGCCAUUAAUUUGGUGUUGAAGGGAAUCUGGACUGUUACCUUGAAAAAAUUAGAGUGCUUAAAGCAGGCUAUUGCCUGAAUACAUUAGCAUGGAAUAAUGAAAUAGGACGGCAUGGUUCUAUUUUGUUGGUUUCUAGGAUCACCGUA
rnacentral:rRNA from 1 species